ACCAGCUUUUUAAGUCCUCUCUGUUCUGGUUCUCAAGUACAGUAUUCAUAACUCAUCACACUUACAUAUGAACCAAAGCUUCAUGAUUCAGGACCUGCAUUUCUUUGAGAAAAAAAUGGCUAACAUAUUCACAAGCACAUAAAAGCUAAAUUAAUAAACAUAGCUAAAAUGGAUCGACAUUCCGAAUUAAUAAUCCUUUUCUGAACAA
rnacentral:misc_RNA from 1 species